AAAGGGAAACCCCAGAUAAGCACAGGGCUGUGGGCUCCCGCAGAAUCCUGCAGGAUGUGCUGGCUGCCAGGAGCUGGGGAGCAGCUGCCCUGUGGGAUGUGUGUGCUGCCAGCACUGGGGAGUUACAUUUCCUCUGUGGUUUUAUCUGAGACUAACAGGCUGUGCCCAGCCAGGAAUCCCUGACAGCGAUCCCAACCCCUGCCCGGCUCCUGCCAGACCCUGCUGCCAGCCGUGUCCACUCCUUGGCUGGGUUUUCCACCCUGGAACUGUUCUUUGGGGCCAAGAGGGAAAACGACGGCGAGGACGCGCGGGCAGAGCUGUCCCUUUGGCGUUCCUGGGAUCCCGCCACAAGUUUCCCGAGAGGCUCUUCCCCAGGUCCUGGAACAGUGGGAAUGUUUGCUCAUGGCUCUCCUGCCCCGGCACAAACCCACUGUCCAAUGAACCAACAGCACCACCACCCUGGCACCUUUCACGUUGGUUGGAUUUGGACAGGAUUCCCACAAUCCAUGUGCCCUUUGGAUCUCCACCAGGAGAUACCGAAAUCUGGGAGGCAGCUGGAGCAUGAUGGAUCUCAGUGGUGCCAUCCAUCAUCCAGGAGUAGCUUAUCACGCUCCGGCCCUGGCUCCGAGCUGGCUGCUCCCAGCUCUGCCUGGACACGCGGGAGAUGAGCCCAGCUCGGAAUCACUCCCAGUA